GUUAAUGUAGCUUAAUCCCCUAAAGCAAAGCACUGAAAAUGCUCAGAUGGACACUCUAGUCCCAUAAACA